CCUACGGUCGACAGCAGUGGGGAAUAUUGCACAAUGGGGGAAACCCUGAUGCAGCAACGCCGCAUGAGUGAGGAAGUAUUUCGGUAUGUAAAGCUCUAUCAGCAGGGAAUAGAAAAGAAGGUACCUGAAAAAGAAGCCCCGGCUAACUACGUGCCAGCAGCCGCGGUACUACGGCGGGGGCAAGCGUUAUCCGGAUUUACUGGGUGUAAAGGGAGCGUAGGAGGAAAGGCAAGUCAGAAGUGAAAGCCCAAGGCUUAAACAUUGGCCUGCCUUUGAAACUGGCAAACUAGAGUACGGGAGAGGUAAGAGGAAUUCGUAGUGUAGCGGUGAAAUGCGUAGAUAUCAGGAGGAACACCAGUGGCGAAGGCGGCUUACUGGACCGCAACUGACGUUGAGGCUCGAAAGCGUGGGUAGCAAACAGGAUUAGAUACCCUUGUAGUC
rnacentral:rRNA from 1 species